GGAAUUAACAUGCGAAUUGGUUUUUAUUUUAUAAUAUCUCCCCAGAUCACUUUAAAGCUAUUAUUGAGUGAUGGCUUUGUGGAGGUCGAAGAGGGCUAUCGGCCAGUAUUUUUUUCAAAUCGUUGCAUCGCGCUCAUUCACUGUAAAAAGGUUUUAAAAAUCGUAUUUUGAAAUUCGCGCCCGAUCCGAAUUGUCGCGAAGUGUUCCGUCGUACUGUCGAAGUUCGGCGAUCGCGUAUUUUCAUUACCCAUGCAAAAUUCAAAUGUCAAAGUGAAAUUAGAAAUUAUUCUCAUCAGAAAUCAACGAACAAGUCAAACUGAAUUAUUUUAUCCAGUGUGAUGAUUAUUGUAGGACAAAUUAAACGGAAUAAAUGCACAAAUUGAUCCAUUCAUUCGUCAUAGUGCGCGACCCCGUCAAACGAGCCAUCUCGGACUACAAUCAGACCGUAUCCAAAAAGCCCAAGAUGAAGACUUCAAGCCUUCGAGCAGCUGGUCUUCCUCAAAACCCCAUCAAAGCCCAUCGGCAGCAUUGCGACAUUUUCUGGGAGCCCUCAAGCUAGGAAUGUACUCGGGCUGCCUCACUCAGUAAUCACUGAACGACUCAAAUUGAAUUAUUUUAUCCAAUAUGACGAUUAUUGUAGGUCAAUUUAAACGAAAUAAAUGCACAAACUGCACAAAAUAUUUUAUUAGGUUAUGUUGCUGGUGCUGAUCGAGUCUUUAUUACUAAAAUCUCAUUAAAAUGCCAUGUUCUACUGCGAUUAGAUGAAAAAGCGAGGGCCCGCUUUUCUUAUUGUGUGAUGAUAAGAUUUACCAUCAAAAUAGCUGGCGCUUUUGAAGAGGACCUUUUAAUGAACCAUUUAGAUAACUACAAAUAACAAAACUUAACAAUUGUUGAUGAAUGAAGUAAUGAAAUAUUGUACGAAUCUGGAGAAGUAUUGCACUAUUUUCAAGAAUUGCUCAAAAAGACUGCUCUCAGCAGCUGUACAGUAACGCUUCUCUGUUUGUAUAGCUUGUCUGAAUGCAGAUGGUCGUGAAGAAAUCUCCAAAGAAAAAAUUCUCAGGGGUUUAUAUCCGGCGAUUGCACAGGCCAAUGGGGCGGUGCAAACUUUCCAUUCCAACAUUGCGGAAAAAUACUGGUUCAAAUAAACAACAUUUAUGCGAACUGUAUGGCUGGAGAUUUGGUCCUGGAUGUAAAAGACCUGCUGCAGAUGCCGCACCCUUCGAGUCCCAGGAAGUAUUUGCUGAGCUAGCAUAUUAUCCUACUUCUGAGCAUUCAAUCCGGAUUCGAUGAAAAAAGGUGCAAUGACAUGAUGUCCUAGAAGCCCCAGUCAUACACUGACAAUUGCACGCCAUUGAUAACGAAGGUCAUGGACCACGUGAGGGUUGUGUAAUGCUCAAAUUUGAUCGUUCUGACGAUUAUAACUUCCCUUAAGACCAAAUGAACGUCAGUAAAACAAAUUUUCCUCAAAAACUCUCCAUCAGCCUAGAUUCUCUCAAGCGUUCCUUCGUAAAACUCUAUAUGUGAGAAGUAGUCCCCAGGCUUCAAUUUUUUGUCAUGAUGCUUUUUGAAAUUCUUCUAUCUCAUCUGUUUAAGACCCCUAGAAAACGUCGUGCCCACCUGAUUUUAUGUAAUUUUUAUCACCUUUGAAAAUAAAUGUAACUUUAUUUUGCGAAA